AAGAAGUUGACCUUGACGGGAGCUUUCAACAAUUUAUAUAAUUGCAGGGAGUGCAUGUAGAAAUUCAUUCUGUGUUGUACAGGUAGUCUGUGUACGAAACAAUAUGUUCAAAUUAUUUUGCUAAUUUUAAACCGUGUACCCAUGGUGACGAGUGUUCUCAGUGUCCCGGUCCCUCAACUAGGACAACUGAAAUGCAUCACUGUGAAAACUGUAAUAAACAACUCACAACCCGUCAAUCACGACUACGCCACGAAAAGCUCUAUUGUCAAAUGGUCAAAAAACAAGAAAAUGGAGGACCUGCCGCCAAAAAACAGAAAAUAUCUCAUACAACUGCUAGCAACAAUUAUAUGUGCGUUACAUGUAAUCAAGAAAUUGCUCCAAAGCUUAUUACGGCCCAUGAGAGAAGUAGACAGCAUAGAAAUAAUUGUCAAAGUACUCCCUUGGAGGAUGGGGUGUUUGCACUCAGCAGUGCAUUUAAAUCACGCAUCGCUUCAUACAGGGUUAUUCAUAUUUGUGCGACAAAAAAUGAACCUCAAAAAGGACCUAUAAAAUGAUGCUAAUUGAGAUUAUAAGUCGUGUCCUAUCGAAACUGAUAAGAAUUUUACAGCCCUGGGAAGUAGGGGUAUGGAAAGACGUUUUUGCACCAUAACUUUGGAAUCAUUUAGCCAAAUAUUACAAAACUUGGUAGACUUACUAAAGAGAACAUGCCUUUUAAUCUGGUAAUUAUGAAAACCGGAUACAUCCUCCCAGUUUCCGGUUGCAGCAUUUCCGGGUCACAUUUUUUGUGUUUUUCUAAUUUUUUGUCCUCUUAACACUACUUUUUUAUUGCCUAAAUCGAUAGAGUAAUCAAUUGCGAAUAAAAAAGGUAUAACCUUUUACAUCGCUAAAAUGCACCAUUUAAUAGUUAUUUUAGUUUAAACAGAGGCAUG